GUGCUUGCUUCGGCAGCACAUGUACUAAAAUUGGAAUGAUACAGAGAAGAGUAGCGUGGCCCUUGUGCAAGGAUGACACACAAAUUCAUGAAGCACUCCAUAUUUUU
rnacentral:snRNA from 1 species